GAUGAACGCUGGCGGCGUGCCUAAUACAUGCAAGUCGAGCGAACGGACGAGAAGCUUGCUUCUCUGAUGUUAGCGGCGGACGGGUGAGUAACACGUGGAUAACCUACCUAUAAGACUGGGAUAACUUCGGGAAACCGGAGCUAAUACCGGAUGAUAUUUUGAACCGCAUGGUUCAAAAGUGAAAGACGGUCUUGCUGUCACUCAUAGAUGGAUCCGCGCUGCAUUAGCUAGUUGGUAAGGUAACGGCUUACCAAGGCAACGAUGCAUAGCCGACCUGAGAGGGUGAUCGGCCACACUGGAGCUGAGACACGGUCCAGACUCCUACGGGAGGCAGCAGUAGGGAAUCUUCCGCAAUGGGCGAAAGCCUGACGGAGCAACGCCGCGUGAGUGAUGAAGGUCUUCGGAUCGUAAAACUCUGUUAUUAGGGAAGAACAUAUGUGUAAGUAACUGUGCACAUCUUGACGGUACCUAAUCAGAAAGCCACGGCUAACUACGUGCCAGCAGCCGCGGUAAUACGUAGGUGGCAAGCGUUAUCCGGAAUUAUUGGGCGUAAAGCGCGCGUAGGCGGUUUUUUAAGUCUGAUGUGAAAGCCCACGGCUCAACCGUGGAGGGUCAUUGGAAACUGGAAAACUUGAGUGCAGAAGAGGAAAGUGGAAUUCCAUGUGUAGCGGUGAAAUGCGCAGAGAUAUGGAGGAACACCAGUGGCGAAGGCGACUUUCUGGUCUGUAACUGACGCUGAUGUGCGAAAGCGUGGGGAUCAAACAGGAUUAGAUACCCUGGUAGUCCACGCCGUAAACGAUGAGUGCUAAGUGUUAGGGGGUUUCCGCCCCUUAGUGCUGCAGCUAACGCAUUAAGCACUCCGCCUGGGGAGUACGACCGCAAGGUUGAAACUCAAAGGAAUUGACGGGGACCCGCACAAGCGGUGGAGCAUGUGGUUUAAUUCGAAGCAACGCGAAGAACCUUACCAAAUCUUGACAUCCUUUGACAACUCUAGAGAUAGAGCCUUCCCCUUCGGGGGACAAAGUGACAGGUGGUGCAUGGUUGUCGUCAGCUCGUGUCGUGAGAUGUUGGGUUAAGUCCCGCAACGAGCGCAACCCUUAAGCUUAGUUGCCAUCAUUAAGUUGGGCACUCUAAGUUGACUGCCGGUGACAAACCGGAGGAAGGUGGGGAUGACGUCAAAUCAUCAUGCCCCUUAUGAUUUGGGCUACACACGUGCUACAAUGGACAAUACAAAGGGCAGCGAAACCGCGAGGUCAAGCAAAUCCCAUAAAGUUGUUCUCAGUUCGGAUUGUAGUCUGCAACUCGACUACAUGAAGCUGGAAUCGCUAGUAAUCGUAGAUCAGCAUGCUACGGUGAAUACGUUCCCGGGUCU
rnacentral:rRNA from 1 species